CCUCUCAUGUUAUUUCAAACUCGCAUAGACUCGUCGCUCCUCAGAACACAAAUUAAGAUAUUUUAUGCCAUGUGAAAUGUUGAGGGAAAAGCGGGUUUCACUUUCAAUUCACGGCUGAUGAAAUUAUGGUGGCUAUCUGAUACUACUGGUUAAAGACACACCCACACAUACACACCUGAGUUCUGAGAAAGAGAAACUUAAGUGUAGCUGUGCGGGAAACAGAAGUCAUCAUGGAAAGAGAAACUCUCUCUGGAUGAUUUAUAAACACGUACCCACAAUACUGCAUCAGCAGCAAUACAGAGGACCGAGAAAAAGUUCUAUUCAGCAACAUGGAUCCCAGAACCAGAAACAACUUCCUGCAGUGUAAGUCGCUAUGAAAGCUAAAGCAUACCCUGAGUAAGAAUCACAGCAAAGCCCAUUUUUCAGAAUAGAUAAGGCUUAUCUUAUUACGCCAUAGUAACCCCACUGGCCAAUGGUGUUCAAGUAAGUAAUGUGAGCAGUGCUUGCAAAAUAAGCGUGAAUGUGUGCGGGAUAAUUCUGAGCUACAGACAAAAAAAGUGAAAAAUGCAAAAUUUGGCCAAUUUUUUUGUUA